GUUGUGGUGAUCUAGUUUGGUUAGGACGGCGGUCUUAAGAGCCGCUCAUCUCACUGAUGGCGCAGGUUCAAAUCCUGUCCAAGACG
rnacentral:tRNA from 5 species